UAUUAGGUUGGUGCAAAAGUAAUUGCGGUUCUUACCAUUACUUUUAAUGGCAAAAACCACAGUUACUCUGCACCAACCUAA
rnacentral:miRNA from 10 species